AUGAUCAAAUAUUGGUUGGGUCUCCAUGAUGUGCAUUCUAGUGAUUGGAGCCAAAAUGGUACCAAGAAGACACAAUCGCGAAGACCACUUGCUUCCUUGAUGCUUCUUGUCUCUUGGGAGUUGUGGAAUGAGAGGAAUGCGCGGAUCUUUCGUAAUACUGUUGUCCUGGUUGAAGUCAUUGUUGCUAGGAUUAAAGAGGAGGCGUCGCUUUGGAGCAUGGCGGGGACGAGGCACUUGAGUAAUAUAAUGUCGCGAGAGUGA
rnacentral:rRNA from 1 species